rnacentral:rRNA from 1 species
CAUGCAAGUCGAACGAGAAAGUUCCUUCGGGAACAAGUACAGUGGCGCACGGGUGAGUAAUAUGUAGAUAAUCUGCCCCUAAGUUUGGGACAACCAACCGAAAGGUUGGCUAAUACCGAAUGAGACCCCACUUUCCACGGAAAGAGAGGUUAAAGAUUUAUCGCUUAGGGAUGAGUCCACAUCCGAUUAGCUUGUUGGUGAGGUAAAGGCUCACCAAGGCUGGGAUCGGUAGCUGGUCUGAGAGGAUGUCCAGCCACACUGGAACUGAGACACGGUCCAGACUUCUACGGAAGGCAGCAGUAGGGAAUUUUGCGCAAUGGGGGAAACCCUGACGCAGCAACACCACGUGAGUGAUGAAGGCCUUCGGGUUGUAAAACUCUGUUCUUAGGGAAUAAAAAAAUGAAGGUACCUAAGGAGAAAGGACUGGCUAACUUCGUGCCAGCAGCCGCGGUAAUACGAAGGGUCCAAGCGUUGUUCGGAAUCAUUGGGCGUAAAGUGGGUGUAGGUGGUUAAGUAAGUCAGAAGUGAAAGCCCUGAGCUCAACUCAGGAAGUGCUUUUGAUACUGCUUGACUAGAAUGUAGGAGAGGAUAGUGGAAUUC